CAAUAGCGUAUAUUAAAGUUGUUGCGGUUAAAAAGCUCGUAGUUGGAUUUCUGCUGAGAACGACCGGUCCGCCCUCUGGGUGUGUAUCUGGCUCUUUCUUGGCAUCUUCUUGGUGAACGUUGCUGCACUUGACUGUGUGGAGCGCUACCCAGGACUUUUACUUUGAGGAAAUUAGAGUGUUUCAAGCAGGCAUACGCCUUGAAUACAUUAGCAUGGAAUAGUAAGAUAGGACCUCGGUUCUAUUUUGUUGGUUUCUAGAGCUGAGGUAAUGAUUAAUAGGGAUAGUUGGGGGCAUUCGUAUUUAACUGUCAGAGGUGAAAUUCUUGGAUUUGUUAAAGACGGACUACUGCGAANGNAUUUGUNAAGGAUGUUUNCAUUG
rnacentral:rRNA from 1 species